UGGCCCGCCACGCCCCCAGCCUGGGCCUAUAAACACCCACGACCCUAGCAAGGCAGAGACAGAAGCUGCUGGAGGGCGAGAGGAACGCAUCAGUGGAAGAAGACAGAAGCGGCUGGUCACGGAGAGCAUGUCAGCAGAAGAACACACCUACAGACGCCGGCUCGCCCGCGGGCUCCCCGGCAGGCCAUCGACCGGUGGGACGAGGUGGAGUUUGUCCUGGGCAGUAGGAGGACAGCCCGGGCACCCAGCGGCCCAACUCCAGGGGAAAGCCAUCUCCCUUCUGGAGCUGCCCAACUCCGGGGGAAAACCAUCUCCUUUCUGACUCUCCUGUCGGUGGAGAGUUACUUCCACUCAAUACGAUUUUGCAGUCAUUCUCCAAGCCCACGUGUGAUCCGAUUCUUCCGGUACACCAAGGCAAGAACCCGGGAUACAGAAAGCCCUCUGGCCUUAUGACAAGGUAGAGGGUCUAACUGAGCUAUAGACCGUGAACUAAGAGCGCACCCUGGAACACACGCCCUCUGGGGCUUCAGCUGUAAACAUCCACCCUUAGACACUGCCAUGGGGUUGGAGCCCCACAACCUGCCCAUCUCUAUGCCCCACUAGAGGUAUGACCAACGGGGCACUGAAGAGGCGAGCACACCCCAUCGCACGCCCUGCAAGGGGGACGGGGGAACCUUUCCCAUUUCAACACCACCGCUGUGGCUGCAUGUGGCUGCCAUAAGAAAAAGAACCCAUUCUUUGGCACAGCUGAAGCAGGACUCUUCUCGUUGUUCUCCAGAGUCUGGCUGGCCUGGAACGUGCCAUGACUGUACAAUAUGAUAGGAGGGAGACUGUACCAGCUCCAAGCCAGCUUUUCUGAUACCUGCAGCUUCUGAUUCCUCUGGAGGAGAAGUCAGCUACUAGUAUUGCAGGUGCAGUUUUAAAAGCCCCAUGGAUAAACAGCUCAUGUAGGUCCAGGUCCAGGCUUUGAAUGCACUACAGUUCCCU
rnacentral:lncRNA from 1 species